GACGAACGCUGGCGGCGUGCUUAACACAUGCAAGUCGAACGGUGAAGCGCCUUCCUUUUUGGUGGGUGUGGAUGAGUGGCGAACGGGUGAGUAACACGUUAGUAACCUGCCCCCUUCUUCUGGAUAACCGCAUGAAAGUGUGGCUAAUACGGGAUAUUCUGGGUCUGUCGCAUGAUGGGUCUGGGAAAGAUAUUGUUUCGGUGGGGGAUGGGCUCGCGGCCUAUCAGCUUGUUGGUGGGGUGAUGGCCUACCAAGGCGGUGACGGGUAGCCGGCCUGAGAGGGUGGACGGUCACACUGGGACUGAGACACGGCCCAGACUCCUACGGGAGGCAGCAGUGGGGAAUAUUGCACAAUGGGAGCAAGCCUGAUGCAGCGACGCCGCGUGAGGGAUGGAGGCCUUCGGGUUGUGAACCUCUUUCGCCAGUGAAGCAGGCCUGCCUCGUUUGUGGGUGGGUUGACGGUAGCUGGAGAAGAAGCGCCGGCUAACUACGUG
rnacentral:rRNA from 1 species